UACGAAGGGGGCUAGCGUUGUUCGGAAUCACUGGGCGUAAAGGGCGCGUAGGCGGCCGGUUAAGUCGGGGGUGAAAGCCUGUGGCUCAACCACAGAAUGGCCUUCGAUACUGGACGGCUCGAGACCGGAAGAGGUGAGUGGAACUGCGAGUGUAGAGGUGAAAUUCGUAGAUAUUCGCAAGAACACCAGUGGCGAAGGCGGCUCACUGGUCCGGUUCUGACGCUGAGGCGCGAAAGCGUGGGGAGCAAACAGG
rnacentral:rRNA from 1 species